rnacentral:misc_RNA from 1 species
GAUGAAGAACGCAGCGAAAUGCGAUACUUGGUGUGAAUUGCAGAAUCCCGUGAACCAUCGAGUCUUUGAACGCAAGUUGCGCCCGAAGCCAUUAGGCCGAGGGCACGCCUGCCUGGGCGUCACACGUCGUUGCCCCCCCAUCUACUCCUUCGGGAUUGCGGGGGGCGGAUGAUGGCCUCCCGUGCGCCUCGUCGCGCGGUUGGCAUAAAUGCCAAGUCCUCGGCGACGCACGUCACGACAAUCGGUGGUCGCGAAACCUCGGUUGCCCGUCGUGUGCGGUCGUCGCGCAUCGAGGGCUCGAAAAAAUUGCCGGGCUCCGGCUCGGCUUUCAACGCGACCCCAGGUCAGGCGGGGUUACCCGCUGAAUUUAAGCAUAUCAAUAAGCGGAGGA